ACAAGUUAAAAUAUUUUAAUUCUCAAGCUGUAAAACAUAAAAUUUUAUCUCAAACAUUAAUCCAGACAGUAAAUUAACAAAAACACUUCAAUAAUAAACAAUACCUACAAAUAUGGAAUGCAGUCUAAAUAACAAACUGAAGCUCAUUCCAUGGUCACUACAAUGUAAAAUAUGAGAGAUCCUACAUUGAUUCCAUUCAAGAUAAUAA